rnacentral:rRNA from 1 species
UACGUAGGGUGCAAGCGUUAAUCGGAUUUACUGGGCGUAAAGCGCGCGUAGGUGGCCAAUUAAGUCAAAUGUGAAAUCCCCGAGCUUAACUUGGGAAUUGCAUUCGAUACUGGUUGGCUAGAGUAUGGGAGAGGAUGGUAGAAUUCCAGGUGUAGCGGUGAAAUGCGUAGAGAUCUGGAGGAAUACCGAUGGCGAAGGCAGCCAUCUGGCCUAAUACUGACACUGAGGUGCGAAAGCAUGGGGAGCAAACAGG